rnacentral:rRNA from 1 species
CGGGAUGGACAUACCUCUGGUGUACCAGUUGUCGUGCCAACGGCAUAGCUGGGUAGCUAUGUGUGGACGGGAUAAGUGCUGAAAGCAUCUAAGCAUGAAGCCCCCCUCAAGAUGAGAUUUCCCAACUUCGGUUAUAAGAUCCCUCAAAGAUGAUGAGGUUAAUAGGUUCGAGGUGGAAGCAUGGUGACAUGUGGAGCUGACGAAUACUAAUCGAUCGAAGACUUAAUCAAAA